rnacentral:lncRNA from 1 species
GAAGAAAAUGGGAAGAAAUGGACUUUGAAGUCAGAAAUGUGGCUUUGAAGUCUGUUUUCAUGGUUCUGUAGUUAUACUACUUAGGAACCUGUUCAACGGGAUUAAUAAUAGUAUUUUUUAUGAAGAUGACACAAAUUACAGGAAAAUACAUAGCAUCAUGCUUUCCACUCUGGGGCACUGAAUUAUUGUUUUUCUUCAUUUUUCGUAGAAUUCAGAAUCCACUGAAGUUCGAUAACUUCUCGCGCUAUGUUCUGCACAACAUUAGGGCUUCUGAGAUAUGGCUAAAAUUGUCUUCGUGGUCAAAUAUCUGGCAUAAAAAAAAGGAAUGUCGGUCUUCCAUGUGGCAGUCUUCCGCAUGAUAAAUUGAUAGAGCAGCCC